rfam:Tetraodon nigroviridis chromosome undetermined SCAF14565, whole genome shotgun sequence.
ACAACGGCUCUUUUAAGAGCCACUCACUUUCUACUAAGAGCAGCGU